rnacentral:pre_miRNA from 1 species
CAAGUACUCCCACCGUCUGAAAAUACUUGUCAUCAAAAUGGAUAAAAAAGAUGUAUCUAGAACUAAUAUACAUCUAGAUACAUCCCGUUUUAUUCAUUUUGAUGACAAGUAUUUCCGGACAGAGGGAGUACUAC